rnacentral:misc_RNA from 1 species
CGCACAUUGCGCCCCUUGGUAUUCCAUUGGGCAUGCCUGUUCGAGCGUCAUUUACACCUUCAAGCUCUGCUUGGUGUUGGGCGUCUGUUCGCACGUUAGGUGUGGACUCGCCCCAAAAUCAUUGGCAGCGGCUCCUGUCAGCUUCUUGCGCAGCACUUGCGCUUCUAGAAGUUUUGGCUAGGGCUAGCAUCCACUAAGAACCCCCCAAGUUUGACCUCGAAUCAGGUAGGGAUACCCGCUGAACUUAA